GAUGAAGAACGUAGCGAAAUGCGAUAAGUAAUGUGAAUUGCAGAAUUCAGUGAAUCAUCGAGUCUUUGAACGCACAUUGCGCCCGCCAGUAUUCUGGCGGGCAUGCCUGUUCGAGCGUCAUUUCAACCAUCAAGCCCCCGGCUUGUGUUGGGGACCUGCGGCUGCCGCAGGCCCUGAAAACCAGUGGCGGGCUCGCUAGUCACUCCGAGCGUAGUAAUACAUCUCGCUCAGGGCGUGCUGCGGGUUCCGGCCGUUAAAAAGCCUUAUUUACCCAAGGUUGACCUCGGAUCAGGUAGGAAGACCCGCUGAACUUAAGCAUAUCAAUAAGCGGAGGA
rnacentral:misc_RNA from 1 species